AAUAUUGUACGAAAUUGCAGAUUACAUAUUUGUAGAAAACACAACAAUCUUGCUUACAAACAUACUGACGAUUUUAUAUAUCUAUUAUUUAAACCAAAAAAAUUAUUAAAAAAAUACUGACUAACAUGAACCCAAUUGAUUUAGAUCUGGUUUUUCAGUAAUUAACUAAUUACAAAUCUAAUUUUUCACUACUCACUAGCAAUGUUAUAAUGGGCAGAUAUAUAGUCGUACUUGAUCAUGGGGUUCAAUAGAUCGGCACGUAAUUCUAUGAGUCUCAAAUUUAAUAAAGGAUAACUUCAACUUUAAAACUAUGCUAAUAUUUAGCACAAAAAA
rnacentral:lncRNA from 1 species